rnacentral:rRNA from 1 species
UACGAAGGGGGCUAGCGUUGCUCGGAAUUACUGGGCGUAAAGCGCGCGCAGGCGGCCAUUCAAGUCAGGGGUGAAAGCCCAGAGCUCAACUCUGGAACUGCCCUUGAAACUGUAUGGCUUGAGUAUGAGGAGAGGUCGUGGUGAAUUCCUGGUGUAGCGGUGAAAUGCGUAGAUAUCAGGAGGAACACCUGUGGCGAAAGCGGCGCACUGGACCACAACUGACGCUGAGGCGCGAAGGCCAGGGGAGCAAACGGG